CCUACGGGUGGCAGCAGUGGGGAAUUUUGGACAAUGGGCGCAAGCCUGAUCCAGCUAUUCCGCGGGUGGGAAGACGGCCUUCGGGUUGUAAACCACUUGUGUAGAGAACGAAAAGUCUAUUGAUAAUACCGAUAGAUGAUGACGGUACUCUAAGAAUAAGCACCGGCUAACUACGUGCCAGCAGCCGCGGUAAUACGUAGGGUGCGAGAGUUAAUCGGAAUUACUGGGCGUAAGGGGUGUGCAGGCGGUUUUGCAAGAUGGAUGUGAAAGCCCCGGGGUUAACCUGGGAAAGCCAUACAUGACUGCAAGACUAGAGUGCGUCAGAGGGGGGUGGAAUUCCAAGUGUAGCAGUGAAAUGCGUAGAUAUUUGGAAGAACACCGAUGGCGAAGGCAGCCCCCUGGGACGCAACUGACGCUCAUACACGAAAGCGUGGGGAGCAAACAGGAUUAGAUACCCCAGUAGUC
rnacentral:rRNA from 1 species